GACGAACGCUGGCGGCGUGCUUAACACAUGCAAGUCGAACGGUGAAGCGCCUUCCUUUUUGGUGGGUGUGGAUGAGUGGCGAACGGGUGAGUAACACGUGAGUAACCUGCCCCCUUCUUCUGGAUAACCGCAUGAAAGUGUGGCUAAUACGGGAUAUUCUGGGUCUGUCGCAUGAUGGGUCCGGGAAAGAUAUUGUUUCGGUGGGGGAUGGGCUCGCGGCCUAUCAGCUUGUUGGUGGGGUGAUGGCCUACCAAGGCGGUGACGGGUAGCCGGCCUGAGAGGGUGGACGGUCACACUGGGACUGAGACACGGCCCAGACUCCUACGGGAGGCAGCAGUGGGGAAUAUUGCGCAAUGGGCGCAAGCCUGAUGCAGCGACGCCGCGUGAGGGAUGGAGGCCUUCGGGUUGUGAACCUCUUUCGCCAGUGAAGCAGGCCUGCCUCGUUUGUGGGUGGGUUGACGGUAGCUGGAUAAGAAGCGCCGGCUAAGUACGUG
rnacentral:rRNA from 1 species